UCUAAUAUGGCAGAAUUAUAUGCAAUGAACUUAAAAUUCAUUUAUAAAGAAUAAUCUUUUUUUAGAAAU
rnacentral:tRNA from 2 species